rnacentral:tRNA from 1 species
GUGACUAUGGUGUAACCCGCACGCUAGUUUUUCACCCUAGAAGAUUAUAACCUAUAAUAGUCACU